rnacentral:lncRNA from 1 species
UUUCAGAAAGGCUUAAAGAUGAGAUGAUUGAUUGAGAUUGUGAAUAAGGCUAAUGCUAGGCGAGGAGACAGAGUUGAGAAUCCAGUGGUCGAGGAGUGUUCAGGAAAGUUGAUGAGGUUGGUGCAAGCUAGAGUUGAGCUAUGGAAAUUCAGAUGUAAGUCAUAGCUGGAAUAGAUUGACAGUGAUUCUUCUUAUCGAAGAUGAUCUGAUUUGGUAAGAGAUGUUGUGUAAUAAUAGUGGUUGAUUCUAAUUUCAAUACUGUAACCUGGAAGCGAUCCUGUUGGUUUGGGGGUGAAGAUGUUCUCUUUUAAAUCUUUUAUUUAACGUCUUUCAAAUCUUUUAUUAAAUGUUUUCAAGUUUUAAAUUAUUUGGAUUCAUUAUCUUUUAAAAAAAAAAUAAAAAAAUACAGGAUUUCAAAAGUGUUUAAAAAUGGGUUUUUAUGUGGUGACGUCAGAAUCCAGACCCCCGGAUUCUCGGACCGUCACAGUUGGUAUCAGAGCAACAGGUUACAAGUUAUUGAAAUUUGAAUAUAGAUUAUAGUCUUAAGUUUUCUAGAGAAGAAUGUGGGUGACCUCGUAUAGAGGUAUUGUGAGACUAUUUAGAAAUAGUCUAGAGAUGUGAUAGAGGUAUAGAAUCUGGUUAGACGAUCAAGUUGAGUGUAUAGGUUUAGAGAGAUUUUGAUUCUUAAGUCUAGACACUUGGAUUUCUAGUAUGUUGACUAAUUGAGAUGAUGAAUUGCGUGAAAGGUCAAGAUUAGACCUAGAUAGAAGAGUUUGAUAGUGAAUGAUUGAGUUGAGAAUGGUGAAAAUGCAGAGUUCAGAGUAUUCUGACUAUACUGCAUAGUUGAAAAUGGUCUAUUGUAUUGAUUUGGAUGCAUGGUUCAUAGUAUGUUGACCAUGUCAGAUAUUUGGAAGAGAUAUAUGGUGUUAGUGAGAUAUGAAGAGUUACUGUAAGAUAUGAGUUGUCUUGGAUUAGAAGAAGAGAUUUGUAGAUAGAGGUUGAUAGAUGAGAAGUGCAUGAUAGAGAGUAAGUGAAGUUGAGUCAGGUUAUUAGAAGUGAUAUUUGCGAGUAAGUUAGAACGUUAAUUCUCGACGAUGAUGUUUUAAGUUAAGCGAGACAAGGUGGGCCCAUAACCCACAGGGCGACAAGUCAGAAAAUAGAAGAUACGCUACGUGUUGUGCUAUGGACUUCAAAGGCAACUGGAUGAAACAUGAGAACGUGAACUACUUGGGCCAGACUUAUUAUGAACUAUAACGUCUACGAUGACAUCUUACGAGGCUAUUACGAGUCAACAUCGAUCGAUUAUCGAGAACGUUGAAAAGAAGACAUAUAUCGAACAAUGAUUUAUUGAAGCAGAGCGAAAAUCUGAGAAGACCUUGGCAAUACCUCUCUUCAACUAAGAUUCUUUUGUAUUGUUUUUCUCAUCAGUGAGAUAUUAUCAUGAUAUCUUUUCUACAAAAGUUUUGAUAAAUGAGAUCUUUAAUUUCUCAAAUUCUAAGAUGACAUUGAUAUUGAUUAUUGGUAUGAGUUGGAAAGCAAAGAUGUGUGACAAAGGCGUGUUUAUUAAGAGACAGUGGAAUCCCUUGAUAUUCUUUCAUAUUCUUUGAUAUCCCUUAAUAUUUGUUGAUAUUCUUUGACACUCUUUGAUAUUCCUUGAUAUCUUUUCAAUAUUUCUUAAUAUAUUCCUCGAUAAUCCUUAACAUUCUUUGAUGCUCCUUGAGAUUUCUUGGAUUCUUUCCAUCUGACUGGGAUGAACAACCCUAUGUAUAGGGGACACAAGGUAUACCUGUCUGUGUGAUAGGAGUUGGAUGGGACGCCAUCACUUGUGUGUGUUGUGAUUACAAGAAGGUUAACAACCUUUAGUAGUGUCUAAUAUGGACACGCAACAUUAAGUUCAAUUGAUCUUAUUGAUCUCCCAGUCACUUUUAUAUUCCAAUGUGACCUAUCUUGAAAACAUCUUGUUCCUCCAAAUUUUCCCAAAGAUUGAUUCUUGGGAAAUGAAUUUUGUAAUUGUGAAAGUUUGAUUUUCCUAUUUCUUUGAAGUCAAAGGUAUGCCAAGAUUGAUCAAAAGGCGGAUGACGAUAUGAUAUUACGAAGUGUGUACGUUUUAGUUUUCUUCGGGGGAUUCCGAGGACGGAAUCCUUAUAAGGGGGGUAGAAUGUAAUAUCCCAUAUUAUUAAAUUUAGAUGUGAUUAUUAUAAAUCUAUUUGUCUAAAUAUUAUUGUUGGCUUUAGUUGAAAAGCGAAUUGAUUAUGUGAAUAGUUUUAUAUGAUUAUACUUGUUCUGUGGAUUAAUAUGGAUUUUACAGAUUAUGCGUCCUCCUUCUUUCUCUGAUUCCGAGGACGGAAUCCCUAUAAGGAGGGUAGAUUGUAAUGACCCGGAUUUUUAAAAAUAUUUUUAUUAGUAUUAAAAGUGAUUUUCUUCAAAGAAGGGAAUAAGAUUUAAUAUUUUAUUCCAGUUUAAUGAGUUUUCAAAGUUUUAUAUUUAAACCCCGGGUUAUUGUGUUAUUGAUAAAUAAUUGUAUUUUCAAAACUGAUUUUCAUAUAUUGUUUUGAAAAUUCUGUAUGAAUAUUAUGUGAAUAUAUGUGUUAUGUGAUUAAGUGGUGUUGGUGGAAUUGAUUGUUAAUUAAUUGUGGUUAAUAACGGAUAUUAUAUGAUUAAUACAUGAAUUUUUGUGAAUAUUGUACUAUCUGGUUUAUUUAAUUGACCGCUCAUAUGUGCUCGGAUUUGAGAUAUUUCAAUUUCUAUAUGAUCAGGAUAAAAUGUAGUUUAUUUGGAUAUUUUGUAUCGAUUUAUGGAAUGUUAGAUGAUUUUAUAAUCGAUUUACAGAUUUAAUUGCGUAUAUUUGUAUUUAUUUAUUAAUUAUUUGAUCUUUUUGGAAACCGUCCACUCGUGACGGAGCAACGAUUUUAUUUCCGAAAGUUUCGAGAAAACUCACCUUUAGCCUAAUUUGAAUAUUCCGGACAUUUUUCGUGUUUUGACUUUUUCGAUCCGGAGUACGGUUUUCCCCGGAGUCGGUCCGGCGGAGUUUUUCGGGUAUUUUAAUUGUUGAUAAUUAUCCAGUUUGUCUCGAUAAACGUGAAACGAGAUAUUUUGAUUAUUAUAUUCAUCCUUAUCUUGUAAUAAUUGCAAUGGGACCCGCAGACCAAUAAUUGAGUUAAAAAGCCCCGUUUUGAUGAUUAUCUCGAAAACCAGUACCGAUUGGACCCCGCUUUAUUAAUAUAAAGCUAUUAAAUACGUAUUUUCAUGUCAUAAACGAUCCAAAGGGGUACCAAUUAUUUGUAAAUAUAAAUAGACCUUUCUAGAGCUUAUUUUCACCCGUAAAAUCAUUUCACCAGUUUCUUUGCACGAAUACCGAGAGAAACCGAGCGGUGUUCUUCGUGUUCUUCAUAAUCAAACGAGGAUUUGAAGGUGUUAUUGGAAUCCGAUGGAGGCGUAUGAAUAGUCAAAACGAAGCUAUCGACGCGUAGAAUCUAGUUUAAUCAUCCGUUUGUGUGCAGAUUCAACAGGUGAUUUUAGAUUAUUUUUAUAAAAUUCGAAUUAUUUGAUUUUUAAUUGAUAAAUUUUUGUAACUGAUCUUGUUUGAUUGAUUUGAUGAUGCCAUGUUGUAGAGCGUGUUUUUCUCGUCGUUUUGGUAUAUUAUAUGUUGAAUUUGGAGUUCGGAAUCAUAUAGAAACGUUAGGUUGAUUCUGAGAUUGUAUGUGCUUGAAUGUUCUUCGUUUGUUCUUGAAGCUUUUAAUUGAAAAUUCGAUUUCUGAGUUCGGUUAAGUCUAGGUGAGUUUUGAUGAUUGGAACAUGUUCGGUGGGUUGUGUAGAAUCGAUUGGUGUGAUCGGUUUUGAUGGAGGAGGUUUGUAGCAGCCUCGCCGGAGUUGAAGAACUUGGCGGCGGCGUGAUUUUUGUUUCGAAAAUACGGCCAAAUGGUCGUGCUUUUGAGCAAAUUGAUCUGUUCAUCAGCUUCCUGGUGGCUUAAGCUUGAGUUCUGGGUGAUUUGGGUAAAGAACGGAGGUGGAAGACGCCGUUUCCGGCGAAGUCGGGGGGAAGGCGGUGCAAAAGUGCCGUUUAGUACCCCCAACUUUUGGAAACGGUGAAGUCUUCGUACCCGAGUUUCAUAUUAAACGUUUUCGACCCUGAAACUUUUGAAUUUGACACAUUGCACCCCGAGUGCAAACUUUUAGAUUUUUACAGUUUAAACCUUUUACAAAAUAUUUUCAAAAAUGUUUUUAUUUAAUUAUUUUAAAUUUCAAAAAUAGUUUUUAAUUAUUUCUUUAUUCAAAAAUAAAUCUAAAUUAGUUUGUUAAUUAAUUUUAAUUAGUAAUUAAUUAUUUUAAUUAGUCAAUUAAUUUAAAUAUUAAUUGAUUAAUUAUUUUAAUUAAUUAUUAAUUGAUUUUAAUUGAUUAAUUAAUUGGAUUUAAUUAAUCCUUUUUGAUUUAAAAAUUCCGAAAAAUAGUUUCGAGCUUUAAAAUAUUUUUCCAAAUUAUUUUCAAGGCUCGAUAAUUGUUUAUGAAUGAUUUCAAGUCCAAUUUCAAGUAUUUGGGACUUGAUUAUUUAUUCGAAAAGUGAUUCUUUUAUCGAUUUUAAUUCCGAAAAAUGUGUGAAAAUUCUGGAAAAUUCCCGAAAAAUCAUUUUUAACCCAAGACUUGAUUUAAUAUCAAUUGGGAUGAGAAACCUUGUGUGUUGUGUGUUGUCUGCCAUUGGUUGGACGUGUUAUGUGCCGAUAGGAGAGUGAGAAAACUGUUUUGGUCAUAACUUUUGAUCCGUAAGUCGGAAUCAAGUGAAACGAAAGAGAGAGGAAAGCUUAUAAAGCCUAGUUUAAUAUAAUGAGAUAGUAUGAUCGAGUUUAGAAUGUGGUUAUAUGUUAUGUAAUAUGCAAUAUGUGUCAAUAUGUGACUUAUUUGCUAUAAAUUGAUGAUUACGUGAUAUACGUGCUUAUUCAUGAUAAAUGAUUUAUAUGACUGAUAUUGGAUAAGAACAUAUGGAUUAUAAGAAUUGGAAUUGAUUGAUGGGUUGUUGAACAAAAUAGGAUAACAGGUGGAUAGUCUUAUACAUAGACGAGACGCUGUCAAGUUAUCGAUUGGAUUUAUAUGAUAAUUGAUUUGUGAUAUGUUAUGUGAAAGAUGACUUGACUAUAUGAUAGAGUCAAAGCAUGAUUAUGUGUUAAGUGAUAUCUGAUAGUCGGAUUUUCGAUAAGGAUUUAUAUGAUAAUUGAUUUGUAACAUGUUAUGUGGAAUAUGACUUGACUAUAUGAUAGAGUCAAAGCAUGAUUAUGUGUUAAGUGAUAUCUGAUAGGUUUAAAGGGUUAUAUAAGUGGGUAUCGAUGUACGUGAGAUGUAUAUGCGAUCGAUUGUUUAGUGAUUAUAGUGUUAUCUUAUUCUCGUAAAGGAUUUGGACGAGACGUGUAUGCCCGAAGACGUUCAGAAAGUCACGUGGUGUUACAAAGCGAAUAAGGGAUGAAUCGAGUAAGCGAAGCGAAGUGGCGAAUAGAGUAUAGCUAGAGAUGGUCUAGAGAUUACGAGAUGCAUUGAUUGUGAAAGUUGAAAGAUGAGAUAGAGAUGUGAGACUGGAGUCAGAUUUAAGGCAAGUAUCCUGCACCCUGCUUUUGGAUAUAUUGCAAAUAUUCUGAUUCAUUCUUUUGAUGUGUUGCAAGUAUCCUAAACCUUUCUUUUGGAUAUCUUGCAAUUAUUCUGAUCCAUUCUUUUCGUAUGUGUUGCAAAUAUUCGUUCCUCUCUUUUUCAUAUUUGAAAGUGUAAAUAUUUUAUCCAUCCUUUUCUAAUCUUCAAAAAAAAAAAAAUUCAGAUAAUUCCAGUUUACAAAUUAAUUCGAAGUUCAGAUUGUCAUUGAAGCAUGUGUUGCUCAGUGAUGGUUAGGACCUAGAAUGACUUGGGAUCUUCUUGAUUAUUCAACCCGCCAUUGUCAUGCUGGUUUAGCAGGCUAAAUUCAGUUGCUUAGCCGAUAAUGGAGGAUACUGAAUAGUUAAGGAUUUCCUGAACUAUGAUUUAUGAAAGGAUGGAUCGUGGCUUAUGAAAAGAUGAAUUGAAAAUUAUUCUGUUGUUGAUGAUAUUUAUGAUGAUGUUCUGUUAAUUUACAUUGGCUUCUUGAAUUGAAUUAGAGAAUUGGAUUAUUGUUUUUAUAUAAACCUGUGGACCAGAUUCGUGGUCAUGUUAGGCCAAUGAGUGCCUUGGAUCCAGUGAUAGAGCAUGGCGGGGCCUGCUCGGGGUUAGUGCGGAACUGAUCAGCUGCCUAACCUUGGUUUUAAUUAAAAUGUGAUAGUCCAAUUCAAUAAUUCUUUGGAAAGAUUGAAUUUCUCAGUUUAAAUGCUGCAAGGUAUUGUAAAUCAUUCUAUACAAUACCAUGAACUCAUGAACUCAGGUUGAAUCCUCUUAUAUCUUGAACUCGUGAACUUCUGUUAUAUCAUUUCAGAACUAUCAUUGUUUAUUAUUACUUGCUGAGCAUUGUUGCUCACCCUUGCUAUUCCUUUCUAACCAUUUCAGAAAGGCUUAAAGAUGAGAUGAUUGAUUGAGAUUGUGAAUAAGGCUAAUGCUAGGCGAGGAGACAGAGUUGAGAAUCCAGUGGUCGAGGAGUGUUCAGGAAAGUUGAUGAGGUUGGUGCAAGCUAGAGUUGAGCUAUGGAAAUUCAGAUGUAAGUCAUAGCUGGAAUAGAUUGACAGUGAUUCUUCUUAUCGAAGAUGAUCUGAUUUGGUAAGAGAUGUUGUGUAAUAAUAGUGGUUGAUUCUAAUUUCAAUACUGUAACCUGGAAGCGAUCCUGUUGGUUUGGGGGUGAAGAUGUUCUCUUUUAAAUCUUUUAUUUAACGUCUUUCAAAUCUUUUAUUAAAUGUUUUCAAGUUUUAAAUUAUUUGGAUUCAUUAUCU